UCAUCGUCUCAUAUUGAUGGAUAAUAUCUUUUCUAAGUAUUUGCCAUUAAUAGCCACUUUCAACUCGUCACCUUCAGGGUACAUUAGCCUAUAUGCUCCUCGAGAUGCUUUGGCUGUGACAAUAAAGGGACCUUCCUAAUUAGCCGACCAUAUUCCCCAAUCUCGAUCCUUCGGUGCUUCGGGCAAAAUUGCUUUCCAAACAAGGUCGCCUUCUUGAUAAGUAAUUGGUCGAGCCGAUUUAUUGGAGCUCAGCUUGCUGCACGGUUCGUAAUGAUGGAACUGUAAUUUAUAAAGGUAGCACCACGUCAUGCCCAUAAGUCAAACGAAAUGGUGUGCUUCCCGUGACCGAUGAUUUUGCAUUCCGAUACGUUCAUAAUAACUCUUCAAGUGUAUCAUGCCAUCCCCUCGGAUUUUCCUCUAACGAUUUUUUAAUCAUCGAAAUCAACGUUUUAUUACUCGCCUUAGCCUGUCCAUUAAUUGGGGAUAGUACAACGAGGAAUGGAUUAAUCGUAUGUCAUAUUGAGCUACGAAGGAUUGCACAUUGGCGCAUAAAUACAGUCCCUUGAUCAGUCGUGAUGGACUAAGGGAUGCCAAAACGAUGAAUAAGUUUGUGUUUAAUAAAUCGAAUCACCUGCGCUUGCUUAACUUGCGCCAAAGGGACUACUUCGACCCAUUUAGUAAAAUAGUCGAUCGCCACCAAAAUAAAAAAAUGUCCUUUGGAAGAAGGAUAUAUUUUACCAAUAAUGUCUAUUGCCCAUCAUCGGAAUGGCCAUGGUUUAAUAAUUGAAUGCAACUCUUCAGCGGGUACUCUUUUCAUGGGACCAUGUCGUUGGCAUGCUUCGCAUCCCCUAGAUAGAUAACACAAUCGCGUGAUAUAGUAGGCCAAAAAUAUCCAUACUUGAAAAUAGUCAAAUGCAUAGCAGCACCGGACCGAUGUGCGCCUGCAAUGCAUUUGUGAAUCUCGGCCAUAACCUUUUUUGCUUCAUCACGGCCCAAACAACGAGCCAAUGUUCCGUCGGGGCGUCGACGAUAUAGAUCUUGAUCGACCAAGUUAAUACGAACAACCCCUUUUUUCGUUUAAAUCCUGACGCUUGAUGUGCAAGAUCGUUCGCCUCGCUGUUCUCCUCACGAGGGAUCUCUUCUAAUAUUUGGAACUGUUGUAGGAGUGCUCGUACCUCACGCAAGAGACCGAUAAGAUGUGAUUCUCGGCAUUUAAAUUUGCCCAAGGCUUGUCGAAUAAUAAGCUGCGAAUCGCCUUGAAUAUAUAUAGCUGUGGCAUUCUUUGAUUCCAAAAAAUGCAAGGCGAGCAGUAAUGCUUCAUAUUCAGCUUCAUUGUUAGUGCAUACUUUAGGAAGUUGAUUUGUGAAACACCAAACUCCGCCGUCGGGGCUUGUAACAACAACCCCUGCACUGGCUGCAUCGGACGUACUUGAACUGUCAAAAGUGACUCGCCAUGAUUCCAAUCCAGCAUAUUCAGCUGAAAUAUCUGAUGUUUGGAUCAUUUAUGGAUGUUCGGCUAAAAAGUCAGCAAUAGCUUGCCCUUUUACAAUGUUCAAUGGUUCAUAGGUGAGUGCCAAGGAUGAAAGUUUCACAGCCCAUUUGACUAAUCGGCUACGCAAAACAGGGCGACUUAAAAGGUAGCAAAGAAGAUCGAAUUUGUACAAAAAUUUUGUCUCAAAUGGUACAAUAUAAUACUCUAGCU